CGACUGUGCCCACACUGGGCCAGAGGCGGGAAAUACGAGGUGAAGUGAAACUGACAGUUUAGAUCACUUCCUCUCAGGGCGUGUAACACAGCAUGGUGGGGAAUUCCUGCUAGUGGCGUGAACAGAGCUGAGAGAGUAGCAAGCCGGGGAACGCCUGUCCUCUGGGCUUAGGGAAGGUUUCACAGCCGGGUUGCGUUGGAGUGAGUCUGCAAAGGAUGAAUAAAUCAAGGCACAGAGAAGUUACAGGACUUGGCCAAGGAGAGAUACAGGUGGUGGAACAGAGAUUCAAACUCAGCCACCUUAAGGGAUGUGAAGUGAAGAGGCUUGAGUUUUAAUGACCAUUUAGGAAUAGGAAUUGAGAUCUUGGGCCCACAAAAGACUCAAAACCUCCUCUACAGGUAAUAUUCUUUUUUUUUUUUUUAAGAUUUUAUUUUUUUCCUUUUUCUCCCCAAAGGCCCCCAGUACAUAGUUGUAUGUUCUUUGUUGUGGGUCCUUCUAGUUGUGGCAUGUGGGACGCUGCCUCAGCGUGGUUUGAUGAGCAGUGCCGUGUCCGCGCUCAGGAUUCAAACCAAUGAAACACUGGGCCGCCUGCAGCGGAGCACGCGAACUUAACCACUCGGUCACGGGACCAGCCCCUACAGAGUCCUCAGAUAGCUGGUCCAGGUUUUGGAGCUGCAUUCAGUGAGACAGACAGGUUGGAUAGAGUGUGCUCAACCAUUGUUGGAGGAGGUCAUCGAGAGGGGGUGACCAUCCAUGGACACAUGACCUGGACUUGGGUAAUCAGAGGCUCCUUACACUCUUCCCUGUCCUUGGAUUGUACAUUUUGCCCACUAUUCCCAUGCUAGGAGCCACUUCAAGGGUGCAGCCUUGAAACAGUAAUCUGUUAUUGAGACCAUCUGAACAGUAUAUGUGACUGAACACCAUUAAGGCCUCUAUAUAAACCCUUAGGAUUCUGGUGGUUGGGUGUGGAGACUUCCUUGUUUUUGUAUCUGUGCAAGACAAGCCUCACGUGUAAAUGCUCUUGCUUAUUAAAACUGCUACCUACCAAUCUGGAGUGGUCUGCCUCUUUCUCUGCUCUCUCCUUGCCCUCUGUGUUUGGGGGCCAGUGUUGAAUUUUACCUUGGGAACUCCCAAGGUUUUUUGAACCAAUGUCCAUCUUACCCAGAAUCAAAA
rnacentral:lncRNA from 1 species